CGUACACUCCUGCGGGAGGCAGCAGUGGGGAAUAUUGGACAAUGGGCGCAAGCCUGAUCCAGCCAUGCCGCGUGAGUGAUGAAGGCCCUAGGGUUGUAAAGCUCUUUUGUGCGGGAAGAUAAUGACGGUACCGCAAGAAUAAGCCCCGGCUAACUUCGUGCCAGCAGCCGCGGUAAUACGAAGGGGGCUAGCGUUGCUCGGAAUCACUGGGCGUAAAGGGUGCGUAGGCGGGUCUUUAAGUCAGGGGUGAAAUCCUGGAGCUCAACUCCAGAACUGCCUUUGAUACUGAAGAUCUUGAGUUCGGGAGAGGUGAGUGGAACUGCGAGUGUAGAGGUGAAAUUCGUAGAUAUUCGCAAGAACACCAGUGGCGAAGGCGGCUCACUGGCCCGAUACUGACGCUGAGGCACGAAAGCGUGGGGAGCAAACAGGAUUAGAAACCCCUGUAGUCCCA
rnacentral:rRNA from 1 species